AGUGAGGUGGGAUGAUUCAAUAUUCUAUUUAUUCUACUUCCUUAUUUACAGUAUGGAAACAUAUUCAUUUCCUCUUCAUCGAUCCAAAUCUAUAACACUUUCAAAGUGAAAUAAGAGAUCUAAGGAAGAACAUAGGUUGGACUUUAUUAGUAACAAGUAAAUAUUUUGUACGUAAAAAAAUCAAGAUAUUAGGGGGAUAAAC
rnacentral:lncRNA from 1 species